UCUCCGUUGGUGAACCAGCGGAGGGAUCAUUACAGAGUUUUUAACUCCCAAACCCAUGUGAACCUACUAUUUUGUUGCCUCGGCGCAGGCUGGGAGCUUCUGUAAACUCCCCCACGCGGACUCACCUCUGCGCGGAGCAGGCCCGCCGGCGGCCCCACCAAACUCUUGUUUUUAGUGUCUCUUCUGAGUUAAACAAACAAAUGAAUCAAAACUUUCAACAACGGAUCUCUUGGUUCUGGCAUCGAUGAAGAACGCAGC
rnacentral:misc_RNA from 1 species